rnacentral:rRNA from 1 species
AGGACGAACGCUGGCGGCGUGCUUAACACAUGCAAGUCGAGCGGAAAGGCCCUUCGGGGUACUCGAGCGGCGAACGGGUGAGUAACACGUGAGUAAUCUGCCCAUCGCUUCAGGAUAGCCAUCGGAAACGGUGAUUAAUACUGGAUAUGACAUUCCUUCGCAUGUUGGGGUGUGGAAAGUUUUUUCGGCGGUGGAUGUGCUCGCGGCCUAUCAGCUUGUUGGUGGGGUAAUGGCCUACCAAGGCUUUGACGGGUAGCCGGCCUGAGAGGGUGACCGGCCACACUGGGACUGAGACCACGGCCCAGACUCCGUACGGG